rnacentral:tRNA from 1 species
GCUAAUAUAACACAAUUGGUAAGUGUAUAUCUGUAUUGAUAAUCAGAAUUAUAGAGGUUCAACUCCUCUUAUUAGCACCA